rnacentral:rRNA from 1 species
UACGUAGGUGGCGAGCGUUGUCCGGAUUUACUGGGCGUAAAGGGCGCGUAGGCGGCGACUCAAGUUAGAUGUGAAAGUCCUGGGCUUAACCUGGGGACUGCAUUUGAUACUGGGUUGCUUGAAUUCGGGAGAGGAUAGCGGAAUUCCCAGUGUAGAGGUGAAAUUCGUAGAUAUUGGGAAGAACACCGGUGGCGAAGGCGGCUAUCUGGACCGACAUUGACGCUGAGGCGCGAAAGCGUGGGGAGCAAACAGG